rnacentral:lncRNA from 1 species
UUCUGGGCUAAGAAAGCAUCCUGGUGGAUUCGUUCUGUAUCUUGACCAAGGCUUCCAGAGAGAGUUGCCUGCAGGACCUCAGCAUCUGUUGCCCUGUGCCACUUCAGAUUUCUGCUCUCCCCAUUCUGGUGCAGCAUUCCUUGACCACCCCAGCUACAAUUCAAGCCAGCCUCAAUCCAGCUUGUGUCACUACUUUGGAAGGGAAAUCAGUCUGCAUUGUGCUUUUACACAUAAUCUUCUUGUUAUGACACCUGAGGAGCAAGAAGUGGAGAAUUCUUAAGCAAGGAGGUGGUCUUUGUUCUGCAUUUGGAAGGAGCUAAGCUUACUGCAGGUGUAAUGAAGGCAAGUGGAUGUCGGAAAGCGGUACAAACUUGUGUAAAAGUACGGAAGGAAAAGUGACAACUUGGUGUGCCUGGAGUGAAAGGUUUCUUUUUUGGAGAGAUUUACACCUCGCUAUCUUCUCUGGCUGGCUCAACCU